CAGCCGCCGCGGUAACACGGAGGGUGCAAGCGUUAAUCGGAAUUACUGGGCGUAAAGCGCACGCAGGCGGUCUGACAAGUCAGAUGUGAAAUCCCCGGGCUUAACCUGGGAACUGCAUUUGAAACUGUCAGGCUGGAGUCUUGUAGAGGGGGGUAGAAUUCCAGGUGUAGCGGUGAAAUGCGUAGAGAUCUGGAGGAAUACCGGUGGCGAAGGCGGCCCCCUGGACAAAGACUGACGCUCAGGUGCGAAAGCGUGGGGAGCAAACAGGAUUAGAUACCCCUGUAGUCCCUGUCUCUUAUAC
rnacentral:rRNA from 1 species